rnacentral:tRNA from 1 species
GCGGAUGUGGUGGAACUGGUAGACACGCUGGCUUUAGGUGCCAGUGCCGAGAGGUGUGAGAGUUCGAAUCUCUCCAUCCGCACCA